UGUCGAUGAAGAGCGCAGCAAACUGUGUGAAUUAAUGUGAACUGCAUCCUGCCAUGAACAUCGACAUCUUGAUUGCACAUUGCGGCCAUGGGUUAGCCUGUGGCCACGCCUGUCCGAGAGUC
rnacentral:rRNA from 2 species